rnacentral:rRNA from 1 species
UACGAAGGGGCUAGCGUUGCUCGGAAUCACUGGGCGUAAGGGUGCGUAGGCGGGUUUUUAAGUCAGGGGUGAAAUCCUGGAGCUCAACUCCAGAACUGCCUUGAUACUGAAGAUCUUGAGUCCGGGAGAGGUGAGUGGAACUGCGAGUGUAGAGGUGAAAUUCGUAGAUAUUCGCAAGAACACCAGUGGCGAAGGCGGCUCACUGGCCCGGUACUGACGCUGAGGCACGAAGGUCAGGGAGCAAACGGG